GAUGAACGCUGGCGGCGUGCCUAAUACAUGCAAGUCGAGCGAACGGACGAGAAGCUUGCUUCUCUGAUGUUAGCGGCGGACGGGUGAGUAACACGUGGAUAACCUACCUAUAAGACUGGGAUAACUUCGGGAAACCGGAGCUAGUACCGGAUAAUAUUUUGCACCGCAUGGUUCAAAAGUGAAAGACGGUCUUGCUGUCACUUAUAGAUGGAUCCGCGCUGCAUUAGCUAGUUGGUAAGGUAACGGCUUACCAAGGCAACGAUGCAUAGCCGACCUGAGAGGGUGAUCGGCCACACUGGAACUGAGACACGGUCCAGACUCCUACGGGAGGCAGCAGUAGGGAAUCUUCCGCAAUGGGCGAAAGCCUGACGGAGCAACGCCGCGUGAGUGAUGAAGGUCUUCGGAUCGUAAAACUCUGUUAUGAGGGAAGAACAUAUGUGUAAGUAACUGUGCACAUCUUGACGGUACCUAAUCAGAAAGCCACGGCUAACUACGUG
rnacentral:rRNA from 1 species